GAUUUGGUCGGGUGGUCCGCUUAACGGCGUGUUACUGCUUGGCUGGGUCUUGUCUCUUGGUGAACCAUUGUGCCCUUUAUUGGUGUGCUUUGGGGAACCAGGACUUUUACCUUGAGAAAAUUAGAGUGUUCAAAGCAGGCCUAUGCCUGAAUACAUUAGCAUGGAAUAAUAGAAUAGGACUUUAGUCUCCUUUGUUGGUUUGAGGGACUGAAGUA
rnacentral:rRNA from 1 species